CAACAACUAUCUGUCAAAAUGAGAAGAUACCGGUAUGGUGAUCCAAAAUCAACAAAAGCCAGAACUCGAGUGAUAGGCCAGGUUCUUAAAUUCUUUAUUGGAUGGAAUAUAAUGGGUUAUUGUAUUUGGAGAUAUCUUAAAUCUGCUGCAAGUAAACAAGAUCCAAGGUUUGAUCAGAAAUCAUCAGCUGAGCAGGUUUUACAAAUGAUAGGAUAUAAGGAAAAUGCUAAGCAGCCAACAAAAUAUCGUCUGAAGAUCGGAAGUGGCGGUUUUAGUUUACGAAAGGAGGAUGAGGAUACUUCAGCUGACAGCUGUGACAAAAAAACUGAAGACACAAAUUCUGAAGGAAGUCCAAAAAAUUAAGUGUUCGAAAGAGAGAUGAGAAAUAGUGUGUCACAGCCAUUUGUGUACAACUGGACUCUAAAGAUUUUGAACAAGAGCGGAAUGUCGAAACUGAAAGAUCAGCAAGUCUUAUAGAAAGAUGUGGAAAGAUGUGGCUUCAGAAGUCUGUGAUUUAUACCACAU